AGAUGUGAGAGCAAUCUGGCUGAGACAUCUGUCACCUCUUUGUUCGUCAGUACUGACUCUUCUGAGCUGACUGAUGAGGCAGAUGCCCCUCUUCCUUCCUCACAGCCCCAUGUGUGCCGUUCCCCACGAUGCUGCAUACGUGGAAGUACUGGCAAGCAAGCAAGAAGGGAAGCCAUCACCAUG
rnacentral:snRNA from 1 species